AUUGUUUAGGGUAAACACACACAACUUGAUUCCCUUGGCCACUAUCUUAGUAAUCUAAGAUUGUCAAGAUUUGCAUGCUGCUUUAAAUUGGUGAUUGGCAUUCAAAAUAAAGUUGUUGAAUUGGAUAGUGUGAUGAUUAAGAUUCUACAAGUGUUAUUCACUAGUAUUGUUGAUAAGAAGUGCUUGGUAAUAUACUAUGCAGCUGUAACAAUAUCAAAUUUCAAAAACUAGAAGUUAUUUUUUUUUCAGUGCUUAUCAUAUGGAUAAUAUUUACAUAAUAAAGCUUG
rnacentral:misc_RNA from 1 species